rnacentral:rRNA from 1 species
GUCUGUGGCCAUGCCACCCUGAACAAGCCCGAUCCCAUCUGAUCUUGGAAGCUAAGCAGGGUCGGGCCUGCUUAGUAUGUGGAUGGGAGACCACCUAGGAAGACCAGGUGCUGUAGGUG